rnacentral:lncRNA from 1 species
CUAAGGCCUUCAGUAGUCUUCCUGGAGAGAGAGGCUCUUAAGAAACAGGGCAGCAGACAGGCAGGCAAUCUUAUGAAUACAACGUGGAAGAGGGAAGGCAAGGCACGACCACCCCAGAUUUUGGAAGCAGUCUGUGAACAUAUCUGGGUCUGUGUUAUUCAGCAGCCCAUUGCUGACUUCACUUAUAGGAUUCUAGAGCUUUUCAUUCCCUGUGGGAAUGGAGACCUUUUGGGUUUAGAUUAGAUCAUUGGAUUUGGAAGUGUGGGGAGAAGCUGACUCAGCUGUCCUUGCUCAGGCUGUCUCUCUGCCAUCUUCUCCUCAAGCCACUUGGACUCCCUCAUUACCGCCCCAUGGGGAUUCCUCCUCUCACUGUGUGUCAGCCUCAAAGAGAAAAUGAUUCAGCAGGGACUUGGGUUCCUGUACUGCUAGGUGCUUCUCCAUAUGGUCUAACGAUUCCUUGCCUCGGAGGAUCCACCUCAGACACGUCAGGACACCAGACACCAGAACCUGGGAGGUAUGGGUUAACUCGCCUUGCCCAGCCCUCCUAUGUAGAAGAAAGAUCAGACAAAGCCUUCGGUCUGUUCCUUGCCAUUAUCCAGCCAGGCUGCCCUCCCAAUGGCUGCAUUGGCACGAGCGCCCAUGUCAGAGCUGUGAACAGUUUCCUUGUCGAGGCCAAGUGGGAUUACAGACUUGGAUUCCUGUCUGUGCCCUUAUUCUAAGAACCCAGGGUUUCUAGUGCAUUUCCACACAUGUGGUUAGGGAUGGGAAUAGGAACAUGCAUUUUAAAUGACAGAGAGAAACAGCAAGAAAGGUUUAAUAAAAUCAGGUAGAAAUCAAGAUUAUGGGGACUAUUCUGCUCACACAGUUAUUGUAACCGCUGAGCUAUCAUCAGGAAGAAGUUAGCUCACAAACCUAUUGUUUAGCUACUGGCGCAUUCCAGAAAGAGUGACUGUAAGUGUUGGUAGUACUUUAGGGUGAAUUAUCUUUUCCUUUGGUACUUUCUGCCUCCUUCCAUAGCAGACAUUCAUCUUCUGUACAUGUGGACAUAAUGAGCGCAGAAAAUGCUAAGCCUGGAGAGUGUGGGGUGGCUCUGGCAUGCAGUCCUGUUGGGACAAAUAUUGUAGAAAGUCCAGACUCCCCACUGGAAGUCAGUGUCAGAAGAGAGGCUCCAAUCCCACUAGAAAUAAAUCUUUUUCUUUGUGAUAAACCUAAAGAACAACACUCGCUACUUCCAGAAAAUCUUCCUUAGAGGUAUUCAGAGGAAUGAGAAAUACAGUGCUGUGGUGUACUAAAAUAUUGCCAUGAUGAAUACUAAACUUUUGAAUUUGAAAUAUUAUGAAAUUCAACAGACAUCAAAACUUUUGCAGAAAACCACAUGAUAUCUGUAGAGCUCCACAUGCACUAAAACAUUAUUUUUUCAGAUGAUAAUAUUCGAAAGCAACGAGAAUCUUAAAAACUCUCCAGGGAAACGGUCACAUUGGCUGCCCUUGCAAUGAAUUUGUCAACAUGUUUUAUUUGGCUUUAACAUUUUAAAUAUAAAUGUCUUCAGUUUUGCUAUCAAGUCCUGUUUCCUCACAACCCUGUCUGGUUUCACUCAUUUCCAGUUCCUUCUUGUCUCCUCCUGGAUGUUAUUAAUCUGAUGCUUGAUUGGUACUCAGUGUCUUUAUUUUAAAGGUGAAGGUCCAGAGAGGUGAAGUGAUUGAACUAAAGCCGCAGAGCCAAUUAAUGCCCAAGCAAAGAUGAACACGCCCUCCUCCACCGUGUGGAGGAACUCAUCCUCCUUUCACCGAAGGAUGCUCUCUCCUUAUUUUUUAAUCCUACCAACAAAGAACGGAGCUAUUCUGAUGUAUUUUUAAAUAGCAUGCUAUUUUAGACUGCUGUAGAAAUUCAUAAAUAUAUAAAAUGAUAUCUGCAGAAUGACAACCCUGGACCAAUAUCUAAACAAGAACCUUUAACUUCCGAUGACUCCCUCAUUUGGGUGGGUAGGGAUGGGGCAAAGGUGCAUGGCGAGGGUGCUUGGUGGCCCAUGGCAGUCCUCCUCACCUCCCUCUCUAAAGUUGCUCUGGGGUGAGCAGGUGUGGGGUCAGGUCUACUUCUGGGAACGCUUUUUGCUGUAGGCAGCCCUUUUGGAGAUAGAGGGAGGUUUUGAAAAGGAGAGGAAAGUUUUAUCCCUUCCAUCCUCUGAAAGUGCGCAUAUCCCUGGUGGGGAUAUCAGGGUUUUAUUCUGUAUAUAAAAACAAAUUUUGUAUCUGUUAUCACAUUUCUUUAAAAAGACUAGAUAGAUUUUCACUAAAGCCAGGGGACAGUUUGGGUUGGGCUGAUUUCAAAUAAUGCUGUGACACAUACAUGGGGGAUGUCAAAGAGAUUAACCCCUGAGAGGUGUGACUGGAGGAGCCCUUGGAUGGUUCCCACCCUCAGGGAUGAUGAGUGGCUGCAGGCUCCCACUGAGUAGCCCGUGAGUCCUACCUAGAAUCUGCUAAGGUCUGAAUCAGCAUCUGAAACUGGACCAAGACACCGAGGUUUUUAAGGACUUGCAGUGAAGCUGGAAGACCAUUGAUGAAGGGCUUAGCUGAAAAUGAGCUGACUGUGACAAUGGGACUUAGAAUGCACCCACGGGCUUGGGAGUCGUGUGCACUUGCUUGCAUUCCUGUGUGUGCACCCAUGUGUGUGUGCAUGUGUGGUGGGGUGCAGUGGCAGGAAGUAGUUCCUAGAAAAAAAAAAAACAUUGAACUUCGUUAAGGGCACAGCUCCAGUGGAGGCAAGGUCACAGCCCACUAACAGUAUUCAACCUGGUUGUUCCUGACUGUGCCACUUGGCCACCUGUUGCUUUCAGGUCACAAGCUUCCAAGCCCCAACCUAACCCACAGCAGACAGAUGCUUGUUUUAAUGUGGUUGUGCUGCUCCCAGGUAGGAGCUGGCAAUCUUUUGAAUAAAGCAGUGAGAAGGGCUCUGGCUUUCCCUGCAUUGUUUCCUGAAAACUUUUCCACUGAGAUUACACAAUAGAGGAAAGAAUAAUUGCGGCAAGAGAAAGUUUAAAUACUACUCAUAUUAUUUACGCAAACACAGAGUCUGCCAAAGAAGUACAGUGAAUGUCCACAAAACUUCCUCUCAAAGAUUUUUCCCUUGAAAUUAAAGAGAAUAAUUGAGGCAAAAAGUUAAUUUUCUUUUGAGUUACCUGGAAUAUUGCCUUGUUUUCUGCUUUUUUGUGCAGACAUAGAAUUAGGCCAGUCAAUCGUAGAGAAAAUGUGGAGAAAUACUCAUCUUUGAAUAAAAAGACUGGCUUUGAAAAUUAACCUAAAUUUGUUUUAUCUUACACUGUUCUAUGCAAACUACUGCCCUGCAAAUGAAAGUGUGACAGUGGUUAUUGUCAGACAUGGGAAAAUAUAUUCAAAGAGAUUUCCUGGUAGAUUUCAUGCUUUAUUUUAUACUGAAUACAAUUUAGCCCAUUACAAUAGUUGGAAAAUCCAAAGGUAAAUACAUGUAAAGUCUUUAAAGCAUGAUUUUAGUUUUUAAAGUACUGUUAAGCCUCACUAAUUUAUUUUAAAAAACAAACAAGGCUGGAAUGCCAAUAUUAACACCAACAUUUGCAUUCAGAAUCCAUUCUCCUUUGAAGAAAUCACCACACAAAUAUUUCCAGUUCCGCUUUACCUCCCUGUCCUAAAGUCAAUAUCCAGGAGUGAGAAAUGAAACAGAGGAUAGAGAUGCCGGCUCUAACUAUGACUGUGAAAUAGAUGGAACUUUUCUUCAGGUCCUUUCUUCUGGGCUGUUCUUUUUCUCUCCCAUCCCUUGGGGACUCUGGUGACAUUCCUCUCUUCCCUUUAGCCAGCUGAAGCUCUCAAAUUGAUCCCCAAUUACCCCAAGUUUUCCGUGACAUUGAUUUCAUCCUCUGCAAAAAAAAAAAAAAAAAAACCAAACAAAAAAAAAACACAAAAAAACCUUCCCCUUGCCCUCUGUCCCAACAAAAUGUUUGCAGGGCAUCUACCCAGUCCAGGUGAUAAAGAAGUGAAAAUAAGGCAGAGCUUUGCCACUGGGGCUCUUCCCCAGCCAAACAGCACACGCAUCUCAGAAGAGGCCUUGAGCCCCCAGAAAGAUUGAGUCGUGUAAAAAUGAGCAGCACUAUUAUCAGGGUCAGUGGUAAAACAUUUUGUGGAAGGGCAUGUUAUGAACUGAAUGUGUCCUUUUGAAAUUCCUGUGUUAAAACCCUAAUACCCCCAUGGUAUUAGGAGGUGGUCAGGACGUGAGGAAGGACCCCCAUGAAUGGGAUGACUCUCCUUAUAAAAAGAGACAGGAGGGAACCCACUUCCUCUCUCUCUGCUCUCCUCCAUGUGAGGAUAUAGUGAGAAGGCUGCCUGUAAACCAGAAAGUGGGCCCUCAGCAGACAGUGGGUUUUUCAAUACCAUGGACUGUCCAGUCUUGAGAACUGUGAGAAAUAAAUGUCUGUUGUUGAAGCCACCCAGUCCAUGGUGAUUUGUUGUAGCCGCCAGAACAGACUAAGAUUUAAGGCAGUUUUUUCACUGUUCCUUAGGUCAUACCUCCUGGAUGAUGGCUCAGCUUCCAGCUUUCCACCUAGACCUAGUGUAGGCAAGAUGGGCCCCAUCUACCUAAAAGCCUCCCAACUUGUUCUCCGUCCUCAUCACUUGCUUUUCCAGCCCACUUGUCCCACACAUUCUGGUGAAUGACCAUCUUUCUGCAGGUGAAUGACAGGCCAUUCUCCUCUCAAAGACCCUCACUGAUUUCCCAUCACCUAUCUAUGAAUUCCAGACUCCUUAUUCUGUCUCUCUAGAUGGCCUGUGGGCUGGGUCCAUCUGCUUCCCCAGCCUUCUGUUUGACUGCACCCUGGUACACAUCCUGUGCUCUCAUGACGCCACAUGACUUAUGAUUUCUCAAUCAAUUCCUCACUUUUCUACUUCAUGGUCAUGCCUUUCCUGGACUCUCUCUGCCUCCAUUCUCUGCUUGCAAACUGUCCAUUCAUGUGCUGCUUUCUCCAUGGGAAUGCAGCGUGAGCCCCGAUCCAAUCAACUUGAGCUCCCAGAGCAUGUGCCCCAUCUUCCUCAGUGGUUCUCAUGGGAAGAGGUGCUUGUCACAAUUAUUUGAGGAGUUUCCUCGAACAAUUCCUAACUUUCCUUUCCUUCUCCCAAAAUCACUUCAUAAAGCUCCUCAGUGAUUCGCUACCUCCCUGAGGUGGAAAGAUUGCACACUAUUGCUUUGAUUAUUCAAGAGGUCUCAUUACCUGAAUAUUCAUAAUCCCAGGCAUUAUAAUUAUAGCACUCCACAGAGAAGUAAAAUAUUAUCAAUAAAUUGACCACUUACACAAUUAGCUCCCUCAAUCAUGCCUCCCUGACUAAUACUAUCUUGGUAGUAUCUGCUGGAAAGCCUAGCUGAUUUUUGGAUGGCAUUUCAAUGCAAAGUGAUUACAAAAUGAAGAUGAAAAGAUGGAGAAUUUCAUGAAGUUGAUUAAACCGAUGCUGGUGAUGCUGGGGAACUCUAAAUCACAAGCAAGAAAAGUGAAAAUCAGUGUAUGAAGGCCAGAUAAUUGAAGAAAAAAUCUAAAAGUGAUAAUUAAUGUCAUGGUAGCUCCUCCUAGAGAGAAUGAUUUGAAGAGAAUUGAGUAAGAAAUGCUUAUGGAAUAGCUGGUGAAACUUGUGUGUGUGUUUAAAUAACUCUCUUUAUGAGCAUGCUGUGAAAGCCAAAGAGGAAGUGAAAGAUAUUUCGCCAUGCCAGUAUAUAAACUGUUGAUAAGAUGAUGCCCAUACCCUCCAUCAAUGUGUAAUUAUUUGUUCUAUGAAUCAGUGUACGGUGUAAGUCAAAACCAUGUCUUAUUAAAUAUAAUAAAACAAAUGUAUUUUCAUAAUGCUUAGUUUUAUUUUUCAAAAUAAAGAUAACUUUUUUAGCUCUAUGAGGUUUGGCUCUUAUGAGAGCUAUUGUAACUUGUUCUUCUUUGGCAUUAAUUUUCCUCAAAUACUAAGGACCUCCUCUAGUUAGUUACUCAGAUGACUACAUACCUAAUUAGGCAGUAAGCUCCUUGCAGACAUCAUUGAAUCAUCAAUGAAGAUGCCAAUCUUCAUUCUUAUAUCGAUAGCGCAUAACUAAUAUCCAAGAGAGACUGAAUGAAGGUGAGCUAGUUAAAAUUAAUAGUGAAUGUAAAAAUUGGUUUGGUUUUCUUUUGAGAAUUAGGUUUUCUUGGGCUUCAAAAAAGCAGUUGAG